CAGCAGCCGCGGUAAUACGUAGGGUGCGAGCGUUAAUCGGAAUUACUGGGCGUAAAGCGUGCGCAGGCGGUUUUGUAAGACAGGCGUGAAAUCCCCCGGGCUCAACCUGGGAAUGGCGCUUGUGACUGCAAAGCUAGAGUGCGGCAGAGGGGGAUGGAAUUCCGCGUGUAGCAGUGAAAUGCGUAGAUAUGCGGAGGAACACCGAUGGCGAAGGCAAUCCCCUGGGCCUGCACUGACGCUCAUGCACGAAAGCGUGGGGAGCAAACAGGAUUAGAUACCCGUGUAGUCCCUGUCUCUUAUU
rnacentral:rRNA from 1 species